GGCAGCCACGCCGUUAGGGAUAACCGCUGAAAGCAUCUAAGCGGGAAGCCCGCCCCGAGACGAGACGGCCAUUCCGUGCGGGGAAACUCUCACGGAUGGAGGGCCCCCGUAGAAGACGGGCUUGAUAGGACGGGGGUGUAAGCUCCG
rnacentral:rRNA from 1 species